AGAUUGAGCUUCCUCGGGUUUCUGUGCCUCUUGACAUUGAAAGAAGGUGAAGGUGACUGGAGAGCUGCUCUCUGUGGAAGCCUCAUUCCUCCUCUCAGAAAGCACCUGUCCUACCUGAGUUAGUCCAAGCUGGAGUCUCUGCCCUUCCUCCGUUGUGUUACACCCAAGGCUGGUGAGUGCCAGGGGGAUGGAGCCCAUACAAUACUGAGCUGCACAGAUGCAUGGUAAUAACCAGAACCCAGCCCUGGUCCUGCAGUGAGUUCUCCUUUGACAGAUCCAGGAUCUCCAAGGACAUGGUUAUUCUAACGAGAGGAAGUGAUCCUCCUUCAUUUUGGUGGAGGUCAGCAGCUCAACUGUCCCCACUGUCUGUCAUCUGAAUAGUGGCUAGUGCCCUCAGGUGAUGCAGAACAAAGCUGCUCACUGUGGUGCUGCUGUUGGAUCCAAGAGCAGGAAGCACAGGCAAUACAUCUACUGCACAGAUAGAGAAACUUCAGUGUUCUCUUAAAUAUGGACUGCUUGGAAGGUAACAUCUUGGUGCAUCUGCUCAAGGAAUCAAGCAAUAAGGCUGCAGCCUUCAGACCUGAAAAGGAUUUUUCUUUAAGCUGCAAGCUACUGGAAGAACAGGUGCCCAAGCCUUUCUGCUUCAGUUCAGAUAAUUUCUACCAUGGAUGCCACCAGAAGGCAGGAAUAAGGAAGUCACUAACACACCAUCUUGAGAGAAAGCAUCUGAAGGCCUUCACUACCCUGCCAUCACAUGGCAAAUGCCCACAGGGUGUGCCACCAGGCUCUACAUCCUCUUCCCCUGUCCUGGAUUUGGCUGCUUAUCUGCAAGGCCAGCCCUGAUGUGCUGUGGGUGACUUUGGAUCUACCUCAUCCCCGUGGACCUGUCUGACGCUCACAGAACCCCUGGCUGACCCUUGUUACCAGCACCCAGCUCACUCUGCCCUCCUUACCUGGGCACACCAGGACUGCCCCAGGCUGGGGAGGGCACUGCCUGCUGCCCUGCUGAUGCCUGCAGCUCCCAGCUCCU